CAAUAGCGUAUAUUAAAGUUGUUGCGGUUAAAAAGCUCGUAGUUGGAUUUCUGCCGAGGACGACCGGUCCGCCCUCUGGGUGAGUAUCUGGCUCGGCCUGGGCAUCUUCUUGGAGAACGUAGCUGCACUUGACUGUGUGGUGCGGUAUCCAGGACUUUACUUGAGGAAAUUAGAGUGUUUCAAGCAGGCAUACGCCUUGAAUACAUUAGCAUGGAAUAAUAAGAUAGGACCUCGGUUCUAUUUUGUUGGUUUCUAGAGCUGAGGUAAUGAUGAACAGGGAUACUUGGGGGCAUACGAAUUUAACUGUCAGAGGUGAAAUUCUUGGAUUUGUUAAAGACGGACUACUGUGAAAGCAUUUGCCAAGAAUGUUUUCAUUGAUCAAGAAUGAAAGUUAGGGGGUCGAAGACGAUCAGAUACC
rnacentral:rRNA from 1 species